rnacentral:rRNA from 1 species
AGCUUGCUUUUUCUAGGCGUCGACCGGCGCACGGGUGAGUAACGCGUAUCCAACCUGCCCACCACUUGGGGAUAACCUUGCGAAAGUAAGACUAAUACCCAAUGAUAUCUCUAGAAGACAUCUGAAGGAGAUUAAAGAUUUAUCGGUGAUGGAUGGGGAUGCGUCUGAUUAGCUUGUUGGCGGGGUAACGGCCCACCAAGGCGACGAUCAGUAGGGGUUCUGAGAGGAAGGUCCCCCACAUUGGAACUGAGACACGGUCCAAACUCCUACGGGAGGCAGCAGUGAGGAAUAUUGGUCAAUGGGCGAGAGCCUGAACCAGCCAAGUAGCGUGCAGGAUGACGGCCCUAUGGGUUGUAAACUGCUUUUAUAAGGGAAUAAAGUGGGAGUCGUGACUCCUUUUGCAUGUACCUUAUGAAUAAGGACCGGCUAAUUCCGUGCCAGCAGCCGCGGUAAUACGGAAGGUCCGGGCGUUAUCCGGAUUUAUUGGGUUUAAAGGGAGCGUAGGCCGGAGAUUAAGCGUGUUGUGAAAUGUAGAUGCUCAACGUCUGCACUGCAGCGCGAACUGGUUUCCUUGAGUACGCACAAAGUGGGCGGAAUUCGUGGUGUAGCGGUGAAAUGCUUAGAUAUCACGAAGAACUCCGAUUGCGAAGGCAGCUCACUGGAGCGCAACUGACGCUGAAGCUCGAAAGUGCGGGUAUCGAACAGGAUUAGAUACCCUGGUAGUCCGCACGGUAAACGAUGGAUGCCCGCUGUUGGUCUGAAUAGGUCAGCGGCCAAG